CCUAAAAAUAUGCUGGGUAUUUUUUUAAAUACAGGAUCUGAUAUUACUUAUUCAACUCAUACUGUUAUAUAAAAGAAUAUUCAUUGUGUAUUUUUUUAUUGUUGAAUUUUUUUUAUGCUGAUCAAUUACAGAUUAAAUUUGGCCAUUAUGAUUUUCAAUUUUUGUCAUAUUGGCAUGUAACCAAGUCAUACUUUUUUUAUCUCAAUUUAUUUACAAAUAUGUUUAAGUUUAUUUCCAGUAAUUAGUGCAUACAUCUUUAUAGCAUAAUAGAACUGAAGACAAUAGGAAGUUAUUUAUUUUUAAAGGGAGCUCUGUUGGCAGUUAGUUGCAGAUCUUGAUACCCAAGUAAGAGAAAGGUGGCGUCUCUGACCAAUCCUUUUGCUCUUGCUUGUGGGCGAGUGAGGCUUCCCUGUCAAAGGCUUGUAUAAGUUUAAAAUCGUAGAUCAAAUUAUAAACUGAACACAUAUAUGAGUGAUAUAAAGUGGUUAUUUUAAUGAAUAUUUUAUCAUUAUUUGUUUCUUUUGUUCUAAGUAAAGAGUUAGAGACUAGAUUUUUGAUAAUUUAUUGAGUAAAGAGUAGUUUUUAUAGACAUCUAGGCAGUUAUACCGGACUUUUUGUAUGUAUAUCUUUCAGAGCUUGUUCCUGAAACUUGGGCGUAGACUAGAAAAUAUACGGAAAAAAUACAAUUUUUAUCUCAAGUUAUUUUAAUCUACAUAUUUAUACAAGUUUCACUUAUAUAAUUAAUUAGCUUAAUUAGCUCUAUAGUGAACAAAAUUUGUUGUUAAAAAUAUACAGGAGACAAUGAACAAGUAUUUUGAAAGGGCUUUGCUGGCAGUAAGUUGCAGAUCUUGAUACCCAAGUAAGAGAAAGGUGGUGUCUCUGACCGAUCCUUUUGCUCUUGCUUGUGGGCGAGUGAGGCUUCCCUGUCAGUUUCUUACAGAUGCAAGAAAUAAACAAGACUUGAUAAGACAUUUCUGAGUAAAAUAUUGGGGAAACUGUUUUCUUUUUAUGAUAAGUAAGAUUGAGUUGAAUAUUUAUAGUGUCAUAACUAUAUUUUACAUUCUGUACAUGCAUAUGCCAGGUCUUAUUUCAGACCUUAAUAGGAUAGACUAGAAGAAUUUUUAUUGCAAGUGAAUUUUAAGCAGGAGACAAUGAACAAGUAUUUUGAAAGGGCUUUGCUGGCAGUAAGUUGCAGAUCUUGAUACCCAAGUAAGAGAAAGGUGGUGUCUCUGACCGAUCCUUUUGCUCUUGCUUGUGGGCGAGUGAGGCUUCCCUGUCAGUUUCUUACAGAUGCAAGAAAUAAACAAGACUUGAUAAGACAUUUCUGAGUAAAAUAUUGGGGAAACUGUUUAUGAUAAGUAAGAUUGAGUUGAAUUUUUAUUGUGUCAAAACUUUUUUAAAUUUUGUACAUGCAUAUGCUUGAUCUUAUUCCAGACCUUAUAAGGAUAGACUAGAAGUAUUUUAUUGAAUUUCCAUGAUUUAAAUUUACCAUUUCGCCAAAUUUUGAUAAUCAAAUACGGUAUUGUUUGCAUUGGAAGUUUGUGUAAAUUAAAAUUAAUUUAUAUAUGUUCCAAAAUGUUAACUGAAUAGUCUGGUCAUUAGAAUAUGUAUUUUUCUUUUCUGUAUAAUAAAUUUUCAAUAUUAUAAUGUAAAACCUAAGGAAUUUUUUUUAGAUCACAUGAAGUGUUUAAAAUUAGAGAUUAGAGAUGCACAUUUACAUCCUAUUAUUGAACAAUUUGUUCAUUCAAUUUAGUAUAAUUUGGUAUUUGUAUGCAUCAUAUAUAUAAAUAUAUAGGGGUUUUCAACGCUAUUCAUAUAAUAUGAUUGUUAAUAUAUAUCUUCUCUGAAGUGGUUUUCAUGGAAACUCUUAUCUAUUUGCAGUUAUGAACUAUAGAGUAUGUAUGUUUCUAUGAAAACAUGCUAUUUUCAAAAUACAUGUACUAGGAAAGAGAAUUUGUGUGUUAAUAAAGUAAAUAAGCAAAAAAAAUGAUUACUUCAGUAUUGUCAACUUUUCUUUAUCCACAUGCAUUAUAUAGAAAAACUGACUUUGUCUUGUAAUUUAUAAUUUAUUUGCAGACCAUGCAGCAAUUUUUAUGGCUCUGUUUCAGUUGUGUUUUUAUUUCCUACUAGUCCAUAUAGAUUCCAUUAUUUCCAUUUAAUGUGUAUUAGCCUGCAUUUGCUUAAGUCAAAUGUGCAUUUCACAAUUCCAAAUUUGGACAUUUUACCUAAGUAUUUUUUAAGAACUAUAUCAGAAAUUUUAAUGGCAUCCAUUCCAUAUGUAUCUGAUCAUGACGUAUAUAUUGUAAUUUUCUAAAUUGUGACUUUUAUGCUUAAAACUUUGAAAUGUUUUGCUCAGUAAGAAUACAUGUAUUUUUUUUUUUUUUUACAUCUUUGAGACUUUAACAUGCAAUAAAAUCGAAUCUUAA